UACAGGGGGGGCAAGCGUUGUUCGGAAUUACUGGGCGUAAAGGGCUCGUAGGCGGCCAACUAAGUCACACGUGAAAUCCCCAGGCUUAACCUGGGAACUGCGUGUGAUACUGGAUGGCUUGAAUCCGGGAGAGGGAUGCAGAAUUCCAGGUGUAGCGGUGAAAUGCGUAGAUAUCUGGAGGAAUACCGGUGGCGAAGGCGGCAUCCUGGACCGGCAUUGACGCUGAUGAGAGAAAGCUAGGGGAGCAAACGGG
rnacentral:rRNA from 1 species